rnacentral:rRNA from 1 species
CCUACGGGAGGCUGCAGUGAGGAAUAUUGGUCAAUGGGCGUAAGCCUGAACCAGCCAAGUCGCGUGAGGGAUGAAGGCUCUAUGGAUCGUAAACCUCUUUUAUAAGGGAAUAAAGUGUGGGACGUGUCCUAUUUUGUAUGUACCUUAUGAAUAGGGAUUGGCUAACUCCGUGCCAGCAGCCGCGGUAAUACGGAGGAUCCGAGCGUUAUCCGGAUUUAUUGGGUUUAAAGGGUGCGUAGGCGGUCUGUUAAGUCAGCGGUGAAAGUCUGUGGCUCAACCAUAGAAUUGCCGUUGAAACUGGGGGGCUUGAGUAGGUUUGAGGCAGGCGGAAUGCGUGGUGUAGCGGUGAAAUGCUUAGAUAUCACGCAGAACCCCGAUUGCGAAGGCAGCCUGCCAAGCCAUGACUGACGCUGAUGCACGAAAGCGUGGGGAUCAAACAGGAUUAGAUACCCGAGUAGUC